AAAGUCCCCUUCGGGGGGCGAGUAGAGUGGCACACGGGUGAGUAACACGUAGGUAAUCUACCUUUGGAUUGGGAAUAACCACCGGAAACUGUGGCUAAUACCGAAUAAUGCAGCGGCACCUAAUGGUGACAGUUGUUAAAGCGGGGGAUCGCAAGACCUCGCGUCUGAAGAGGAGCCUGCGGCAGAUUAGCUAGUUGGUAAGGUAACGGCUUACCAAGGCGAUGGUCUGUAGCCGGCCUGAGAGGGCGGUCGGCCACACUGACACUGACAUACGGGUCAGACUCCUACGGGAGGCAGCAGUCGGGAAUUUUGGGCAAUGGGCGAAAGCCUGACCCAGCAACGCCGCGUGAAGGAUGAAAUCCCUCGGGAUGUAAACUUCGCAAGAACGGGAAGAAUAAGUAAGAGCUAACAUCUCUUAUGAUGACGGUACUGUUUGUAAGCUCCGGCUAACUCCGUGCCAGCAGCCGCGGUAAUACGGGGGGAGCAAGCGUUGUUCGGAUUUACUGGGCGUAAAGGGCGCGUAGGCGGCACCGCAAGUCGACUGUGAAAUCUCCGGGCUUAACUCGGAAAGGUCAGCCGAUACUGCGGGGCUAGAGUGCAGAAGGGGCAACUGGAAUUCUCGGUGUAGCGGUGAAAUGCGUAGAUAUCGAGAGGAACACCUGCGGCGAAGGCGGGUUGCUGGGCUGACACUGACGCUGAUGCGCGAAAGCUAGGGGAGCGAACGGGAUUAGAUACCCCGGUAGUCCUAGCCUUAAACGAUGAAUGCUUGGUGUCUGGGGUUUUAUAGUCCCCGGGUGCCGUCGCUAACGCUUUAAGCAUUCCGCCUGGGGAGUACGGUCGCAAGACUGAAACUC
rnacentral:rRNA from 1 species